CCCUAUCUGCCGUGGGCGCUGGAGAAUUGAGGGGGGCUGCUCCUAGUACGAGAGGACCGGAGUGGACGCAUCACUGGUGUUCGGGUUGUCAUGCCAAUGGCACUGCCCGGUAGCUAAAUGCGGAAGAGAUAAGUGCUGAAAGCAUCUAAGCACGAAACUUGCCCCGAGAUGAGUUCUCCCUGAGACUAUAAGUCUCCUGAAGGAACGUUGAAGACGACGACGUUGAUAGGCCGGGUGUGUAAGCGCAGCGAUGCGUUGAGCUAACCGGUACUAAUGAACCGUGAGGCUUAACCUU
rnacentral:rRNA from 1 species